UGCCCUCGUCCUCAACGCUCCGAUUCUCCCACGCUUCCUUGCACAGGUAAUUUCUUUUCCCUCAUCCUCUCCCGAUGUUUCUCAAUUUUUUCCUUUCCAGAUUUCUACUUCUUCUUCUGGUACGAUACGCUUCUUUUCUUCUCACAUUUCUUUUCUUUUCUCCAUUUUCUUUUCUCCAGAUUUCUGCUUCUUCUUCCAAAUUUUUUCCUUGUUUUUCUUUUCUUUUCUUUUCUGUAGAAUCGAUUUUGAUUUUGAUUUUAUUUAUCUUUGUCGAAUUUCGAAACACUUCUGAUCGGGAAUAUCAUAUAAGUUGGAUGCUUUUCAUUCGUGUCUAGACACUCAUCGUCUUCUCUGAGAAUCGAUUUCAUUUGUCGGAUGGCAUUGCGAGGAGGUUGGCAACUUAAAAAGCUGAUUGUAAGCUAUUGUGAUUGGGGAGGUAGUAGUAGGGGCAUCAGUUCCAACAUUGCAAUGUGUUUUUCUCGUAUUUGUUUGCCUAAUAAAGC